rnacentral:sRNA from 1 species
GCGUGCGCGCCGCGGCCAGCGCGCGCGGGCGGGGUGGGCAGGCGCGCCCCGGACCCAGGAUUUAUAAAGGCGAGGCCGGGACCGGCGCGCGCUCUCGUCGCCCCCGCUGUCCCGGCGGCGCCAACCGAAGCGCCCCGCCUGCUCCGUGUCCGAUAUGCUGCGCCGCGCUCUGCUGUGCCUGGCCGUGGCCGGCCUGGUGUGCGCCGACGCCCCCGAGGAGGAGGACCACGUCCUGGUGCUGCGGAAAAGCAACUUCGCGGAGGCGCUGGCGGCCCACAAGUACCUGCUGGUGGAGUUCUAUGCCCCUUGGUGUGGCCACUGCAAGGCUCUGGCCCCUGAGUAUGCCAAAGCCGCUGGGAAACUGAAGGCAGAAGGUUCCGAGAUCAGGUUGGCCAAGGUGGACGCCACGGAGGAGUCUGACCUGGCCCAGCAGUACGGCGUGCGCGGCUAUCCCACCAUCAAGUUCUUCAGGAAUGGAGACACGGCUUCCCCCAAGGAAUAUACAGGUGUGGCUGUGGCACUGCCCUUGAACUGUCUUUAGAGAGGGACUGGCCUGCCGACUUGGAAGGGCACGGGCAGCUGUCUGAGCGGUGGGGAGGCCAGGUUCCAGAGGCUUGGAGGGAUCCCGUUCCUCAGGCUGGGUUCUCCGUCCACUUGUGCCCUGAGGGUCCUGUGAGGAAAGUUUUCAUCCUGGAAGAACCUUCGAAUGGAGAACCUGUCUUGUCUGGUGCCAUCGUGGGGGCGGCUGGCUGAGGUCUGUUUGGAGACUGACCAGCAAGGAGAGGGAGACUGGUGCCUUUCUGGCCACAUGGGCUGUUUGUGCUGCCCCGUUCCUAGGAGCAGCAGCAUAGCUGUAGCUCUCGGGGUGACACC